rnacentral:tRNA from 1 species
UGGCUCAGAGGUUAAAGCAUCUGCCUGCAAUGCAGAAGACCUGGGUUCAAUCCCUG